UGGUGGAGUGAUCUGUCUGGUUUAUUCCGAUAACGAACGAGACCUUAACCUGCUAAAUAGUUACAUGAAUCUUGUAUUCAUGGCCAACUUCUUAGAGGGACUAUGCGUAUCGAGCGCAUGGAAGUUUGAGGCAAUAACA
rnacentral:rRNA from 1 species